rnacentral:rRNA from 1 species
GACGAACGCUGGCGGGGGGCUGAACACAUGCAAGUCGAACGGAAAGGCUCUGCUUGCGGGGGGUGCUAGAGGGGAGAAAGGGUGAGUAACACGUGAGUAACCUGCUCUUGUCUUUGGGAUAACUUCAGGAAACUGGGGCUAAUAUCGGAUAGGAGCUCCUGUUGCAUGGAGGGGGUUGGACAGUUUCGGCGGUUGGGAAUGGACUCGCGGCUAUCGGCCUGUUGGUGGGGUAGUGGCGUACCAAGGCUUUGACGGGUAGCGGGCCUGAGAUGGUGACCGGGCACAUGGGCCCUACGUUAGGGCCCAGACUCCUACGGGAGGCAUCUGUGGGGAAUUUUACACAACGGGCGGAAGCCGGAUGCAGAAGCCCCGCGUGGGGGAUGACAGCCUUCGGGUUGUAACCCGCUUUCGCCUGUGACGAAGCGUUGGUGACGGUAGUGGGUAAAGAAGCACCGGCUAACUCCGUG